rnacentral:piRNA from 1 species
UGACUCUAUCCUUGAGCCAAGUCCACGGUC